CUAAAGGCUCUUUUAAGAGCCACCACAUCACACAGAAGAGCUGUA
rfam:Amazona aestiva scaffold_1371, whole genome shotgun sequence.